GGGUAUGCAGCUCUUUCAGAUGAGAAUCUAGUGGAUCCCACCGUGUAGAGGAAAGGUCUGAACACCACCGGGUGCUGGUGAGGAUGAACGCGAGCAGGGGCUGGGGGAGCUUCCGACGGCUUUAUUCCUCGACUGGAGAAGAGUAUGGUAAACAGGCAGGCAGAGGCCAAAGCGGGCACAUUUCACUCCUCUGGAAGGAAGAGGCCUCCCCUGGGCCACUGUGCGCCGUCUCUGUCCAUCAGACCAGUGAGGAGGAAGAGGGCUUGGGGACUGGAGUCAGCCCUGACCUUGUGUCGCGUCUCUUCCACACACCGCUGUGGUACCUUGGGCAAGAGGGCAGCCACUGAGGAUUCUUGAGGAGAGAGAGACCAUAGAAUGAAUGAAAGAGUUGGAAAGACUUUAAAGCUCUGGGAGGCUGAAUCCUUUAUUUCGCUGGAAGAAAAACUGAAUGCCAAGAGGGCCUCACUUUCCCCAGAGCUAUACAGACAUCAGGGGCAAUGCUGGGAUUCCCCCAUGGAUCUCUUGACUCCUAAUACAGUGCUCUUCCUGAUAUGCCAUCUCGCUCCGUAAUGAACAUUGUGUUCCAGGAAAAUCAGUCUGCGCUGAACAGGAUGGAAUUGGGGCAGGACGUCCAGUGAGGAGGACAUUGAGGCAGUAGAGCAGUUGAUUGCCGAAUGACCACCUACCCUGACUUAAAAGAUCAACCUCAGGGUGGAUUGGAGCUUUCUAGAGUCUCUUGGGACAGCAGAAGCACAGGCCGGGUUGGACUGAAUCUUUAAGUGGACAUGAGGGACAAAGUACCUCCUGUUGGUAAACAUCUCACCACCAACCCACUGUGGUGGCUAAAAUCCCACCUUUAGUCCCAGCAACAUGUGAGCAUGUCACCAGGAGGUCUUCACAGGCCUGUCUGCCACCUGAGUGUAGACAUCUUUUGGCCCUGGAGCCCAGAGAGGCUGAAUGUGGAGAGGGUGGAGAGAGGUCUGUAGUCCUCAGAGAAGACUUGCAGCUUUUUCAGAGCCACCAACCCAUAAAAAAAAAAAUCCCCAAACAGGAAAACCCUAACUGUGGUGACCAGGUACCUCCUGAGACAUGAAGCCUCCACUUACCUGGACCCUGGAGGCCUCUCCGGGCACAGCUGCCAAUGUUGAUCUUAGAUAAGACCACCAGCAAGUAAACAUCCACUGUGCAAAGCUGUGUUAUCUUUGGGGAACUGAAAUGUCCCCUGGGAGUUGGAAACUCCCCUAGCCACAUACCACAGAGUUGAGGAAGGAAGAGCUGAUGGACGGAAGAACCAUGGCGGGAGGAGUCACCCGGAAGCUACCUCGCUGCCCUGUCAGUUACGGAACAGAGGAGAGAUGCCGGCUGGAGGACACAGCAAAUUUGAACCAAGAGGAGCUUGGAGGAAGCCCGAGCAACCUGGAGGGGACUGGCUGACCUUCCUCAUUCUUUCCAAGUGUGAAUAAUAACCAAGCCCAGUUUGGCAACUCCUUGAGGGUGAGGACGAAGCCCCAUUCUCCUUUUUGGAACUUGGUGGGGCUCAGGAAGCAGGUUCUCUCCAGUCGGUGGCUUUCCUUUCUGUUGCGGGUCUCUUGAGGGCCUGCCUUCAUGAAGGCACAUGAGUGACUCAUCAUUUGUGAAUUAAUUGCUAUAUGUGAGGGGCAUCUGAGAACAAAUUCUCUUCAUAGACUUUUCAUUAUAAUUUUAUUUGUACUGA